UACAGAGGUCUCAAGCGUUGUUCGGAUUCAUUGGGCGUAAAGGGCGCGUAGGCGGCCGGUUAAGUCGAACGUGAAAUCCCCGGGCUCAACCCGGGAACUGCGUCCGAUACUGGCAGGCUUGAAUUCGGGAGAGGGAUGCGGAAUUCCAGGUGUAGCGGUGAAAUGCGUAGAUAUCUGGAGGAACACCGGUGGCGAAGGCGGCAUCCUGGACCGAGAUUGACGCUGAGGCGCGAAAGCCAGGGGAGCAAACGGG
rnacentral:rRNA from 1 species